UACGAAGGGGGCUAGCGUUGCUCGGAAUCACUGGGCGUAAAGGGUGCGUAGGCGGGUCUUUUAAGUCAGGGGUGAAAUCCUGGAGCUCAACUCCAGAACUGCCUUUGAUACUGAGGAUCUUGAGUACGGGAGAGGUGAGUGGAACUGCGAGUGUAGAGGUGAAAUUCGUAGAUAUUCGCAAAGAACACCAGUGGCGAAGGCGGCUCACUGGCCCGUAACUGACGCUGAGGCACGAAAGCGUGGGGAGCAAACAGG
rnacentral:rRNA from 1 species